UACGGAGGGGGCUAGCGUUGUUCGGAAUUACUGGGCGUAAAGCGCACGUAGGCGGCUUUGCAAGUCAGAGGUGAAAGCCCGGAGCUCAACUCCGGGUCUGCCGCGGAUACUGCGAGGCUUGAGUGCUGUAGAGGGGGGUAGAAUGCCGGGUGUAGCGGUGGAAUGCGUAGAGAUCCGGCAGAAGACCGGUGGCGAAGGCGGCCCCCUGGGCAGUAACUGACACUGAGGCGCGACAGCGUGGGGAGCAAACAGG
rnacentral:rRNA from 1 species